rnacentral:rRNA from 1 species
AUUGAACGCUGGCGGAAUGCUUUACACAUGCAAGUCGAACGGCAGCACGGGGCAACCUGGUGGCGAGUGGCGAACGGGUGAGUAAUACAUCGGAACGUGCCCAAUCGUGGGGGAUAACGUAGCGAAAGUUACGCUAAUACCGCAUACGAUCUACGGAUGAAAGCGGGGGAUCGCAAGACCUCGCGCGAAUGGAGCGGCCGAUGUCAGAUUAGGUAGUUGGUGGGGUAAAGGCUCACCAAGCCGACGAUCUGUAGCUGGUCUGAGAGGACGACCAGCCACACUGGGACUGAGACACGGCCCAGACUCCUACGGGAGGCAGCAGUGGGGAAUUUUGGGACAAUGGGCGCAAGCCUGAUCCAGCCAUUCCGCGUGCAGGAUGAAGGCCUCGGUGUAACU